rnacentral:lncRNA from 1 species
CCUUUGUAGCGGACGCCCCUCGACCCACCCACCCGAUCCCGGCCGCACCCUGCUCUGCACCCGCACCCCACCCCCAGACCUCACCCUGCCCUGCCGUGCGCUCAACAGCCAGAUGCUGGGCCCAGACAAGCGCUCUUCCGCUAGUGUGCCGGGAUGAGCGGGGGCUGGACUUCUAGAAAGGGGUCUGCGGGCGCAGGAGCUGGGGUCCGCGGUCUGGGGCCGGCUGAUCACCAGUUCCUCUUAGGAACCGGUGAACCUCAGGGGGCCCAUUGCACAUCCAGGUGUGAAACUGCGGUGUGGCCUCCAGGUGAGGACAGACUCGGUAUAGUGGGGAUCUUGGGCAGGCCCUGCGGCUGCAGCCCUUGGGGAAGGUGAAUGUGAGGACCAUGGAGGCUGGGAGGGUUUAUCCGGAGAAGUGCCAGAGGAAACCCAAACUUUCUGGGCAGAGGGGCCAAGGAGAACCAGGCAUCGACUCUUUUGGAAACUAAGAGGGGAGGGGUUUGAAAGCAGUUUGGGAGCUGGGGACAGAUCGUAGGUUGGGCGAGCUUGCCUGGUCGUGGGCCAGAGGAAAGAACCACCAGGAGAAAAGCUUAACUUUCAAGGAGGUCACCCAGGAUUCCUGAGCAAGGUGGCACCCAUGCACUCUGGUUCCUCUCCUCUGCAGCCAACACAAGCCAUCAGCCCCAUGCUCAGCUCCCAGCAGGCAGAGCGUUCAGAAGCGCCAGCGCCAUCAUCUUGGGAGCCUGCAGUCCACACACCGCUGACCUUACCUACUUCCUCUUUCCAGGUCGUAGAUUACAGACUCUCCUCUGGGAAAUUGCCCCCAGAUCUAACAGGAGUACAAGAAGCUGGGUAGAUUGGAAAACAGCACCGAAUUCCCCUGGAACUGAGGUCUCCCCUAAUUCCCCUGAAACUGGGGUCUCCCCCAACCUCCACCUUAAGAUAGCAAAGCUAUAGAGACCCAGGAGUCAGGCUGGGUCCCCAGCAGAACCUGGGCUCCCUUCCCCUUUCACACCUUUAACUCUUCUGGAGCCUCCAAGAGGGCCUGGAGUCCCGUGGUGCCCAGGCCCUCCUGGACCUAAUCACUUUAUAAAUGGAAGGCACCUUGGGAAGGGAACCUGGUAGGGUGUAGGAGGAAAUGGUUAAGCUUUAAGAAGCAAGAAAUGGGCAGUGUUUAACAAGUGAAGGGUUGGGGGGCGGGUGCAUUUUGUGCCAGGGAGUGCUCAUUCCCCGUGCCACAGGGACUGCCACAAUUUACCCUGCUGGAAAGAGUGACCCUCUGGGGCCUCUCUGAGAAGCAUGGUGAAAGCUGGAUAUUCCUGAGUUGUGUGUGUGUGUGUGUGUGUAGGUGGUGACAGAGGGAGGCACCUUGAGGGGCGCCCACAGGGAACGUCAUAGCCAGAGCUUUGUCAGAAUUGCUUUUUCCCUUCUGGCACAACCUGCAAUGCUGGUGGUGAGGGUGCCUGUGGUCAUCAUCUUCAUAGUUUGGGUACUUACUGUGUGUCAGGUACUGUGCUAAGUGCUAGUAUUUUUCAACAGGACGGAAGCCUUCCCAGUCCUGCAGCCACCUGCAGACUCUCACAAGCACGGUGCUCCCGGGAGAAGACCUUGCUACCCCAGGCCCAAGGCAGUCGAGAGAAAACGGGAAGCCCUGAAGGUUUUUCACCCCGGGGGUGAGAGUGUAUGAUCGAAGAUAUAUUUGAGGGUAAUUGUACAGAUAGUCCCAACUUAGCAUUGUUCAACUUUAUGAUGGUAUGAAAGUGAUGACAUUCAGUAGAAAUUGUACUUCAAGUGCCAAUACAAUCAGUUUUUCACUUUUGGUGCAGUAUUCAAUAAAUUACAUGAGAUAUUCAACACUUUACUUUAAAAUAGGCUUUGUGUAAGAUGAUUCUGCCCAAAUGUAAGGCUGAUGCCAGUGCUCUGAGCACAUUUAAGGGAAAGCUGGGCUAAGCAAUGAUGUUCCACAAGUUAGGCAUAUUAAAUGCAUUUUUGACUUAGAAUAUUCUCAACUUGCAAUGGGUUUAUCAGAACAUGACAUCGUUAAUCACUCAAGGAGCAUCUGUACCACUAAUGACAUAGAUGCUGGUUGCAGGAAGGCAGCCAGAGGAGGGCACAGUGUGGAAGAACUCAACUUUUUAAAGACAGAGAUCAGCUUUAAAUAUUGCUAAGAAAGAACUUGGAGAGAGAAGUUGGUGAUACCGGAGACAGCAGGCAACAGACAGAGUGAGAGGCCCGAAGAACAAGAGGAGGAGGGAGUCUCUUCUGGGAGCAGAAGGAGUGUCGACUUAAAUAUUAGGGAGCCAAAGAUGAACCUCGCAGAGAACCUGCAAAACCCAGUUGCAGAAAUACCUGCCCACACCUAAAAACUCAGUCACUGAAAGUCUGAAGUCAAAUGAUUAUGUGAAAUCUUAGUAGUGGGUACAUGUGGUUUCAUUAGAUUAUUCUUUGUAUCUAUAUUUGUACUAUCUUAUAAGCACUAUAAGUUUUAAAACCAUACAAGAGGCUCUAUGGAAAAUAAAUUGGACUUCAUUAAAAUUCAAAACGUGUGCAUCAAAAGACACUGUCAAGAGAAUGAAAAGACAACCCAUAUGAUGGGAGAAAAUCACGUAUCUGACAAAGGUCUACAAUCCAGAACAUAUUAAAAAACUCCUACAAUUCAACAAUGAAAGACCGCCACCCAGUUUUAAAAUGGAAAAAGGACUUGACGUUUCCCCAAAGAUGUGCUCGUGACGAAUGAGCAUGUGAAGAGAUGCUCACUGUUGGCCGGGCGCGGUGGCUCACGCCUGUAAUCCCAGCACUGUGGGAGGCGGAGGUGGGCGGAUCACCUGAGGUCAGGAGUUUGAGACCAGCCUGGCCAACAUGGUGAAACCCCGUUUCUACUAAAAAUAGAAAAAAUUAGCCAGGUGUGGUGGCAGGCGCCUGUAAUCCAGCUACUCAGGAGGCUGAGGCUGGAGAAUUGCUUGAACCUGUGAGGCAGAGGUUGCAGUGAGCUAAGAUCGUGCCAUUGCACUCCAGCCUAGGCAACAAGAGUGAAACUCCGUCUCAAAAAAGAAAGAAAAGAAAAGAUGCUCACUGUCAUUAGUCAUAAAGGAAAUGCAAAUCAAAAGUACAGUGAGAUGCCACUUAACACCCACUACGAUGGGUAAUCAUAGGAUGGGAAAAAUAAAAUAAGUGUGGGUGAGGAUGUGGAAAAAUCAACCCUCACACACUGCUGGUGAGAAUGUAAGAUGGUGCAGCUGCUAUGUGACCGUCUGGCAGUCCCUCGAAUGAUUAAACAUAGAGUUAUAAUGUGACCCAGCAAUUCCAUAUAUACCCAAGAGAAAUGAGCAUUAUUCCUAAUAGACAAGGGAAGAAACAGCCCCACGGUUCAUCAGCCCAUGAGUAGAUUAACUAAAUGUGGCAUAUGCAUAUAAUGGAAUACUGUUCCGCCAUGACAAAGAGUGAGGUGCUGAUAAACGGUACCACGUGCAGGGACCUUGAAAACAGAUUAAGUGAGAGAAGUCAGUCACCAAAGACCACAUAUUACCUGAUUCCAUUCAUCUGCACGGUCCAGAACAAGGGAGUCUACAGAGAUAGUUGGUUAGUGGUUGCCUAGGGCUUGGGGAAGAGGUCUGGGGAGUGGAGAAGUGAUGGGUAUAGUAUACACGGUUCCUUUUUGGGGUGAUGAAAAUGUUCUAAAAUGGACUGUGGUACUGGUUGCUUAUUUUAAUAUAUCUGUGAAUAUAUUAAAAAACCAUUGAAUUGUACACUUUACAUGGAUCAGCUAUACAGUAUGUGAACUAUUUCUCCAUAAAGCUGGGGGUUUUUUUGUUUUUGUUUUUGUUUUUUAUUUAGAUGGAGUCUCACUCUGUUGUCCAGGCUGGAGUGCAGUGGCGCGAUCUCGGCUCACUGCAACCUCCACCUCCUGAGUUCAAGCGAUUCUCCUGCCUCAGCCUCCUGAGUAGCUGGAAUUACAGGCACACGCCACCAUGGCCAGUUAAUUUUUGUAUUUUUAGUAGAGAUGGAGUUUCACCAUGUUGGUCAGGCUGGUCUCAAACUCCUGACCUCAUGAUCCGCCCGCCUCAGCCUCCCAAAGUGCUGGGAUUACAGGCGUGAGCCACCGGCCCAGCCAAAGCUGUUUUUAAAAAACCAUACAUACAGUGAGAUAUCACUUCAUAUCCACUAGUCUGGGCCAUCAUUUUUAAAAUGGAAAAUCACAAGGGCUGGUGAGGAUGUGGAGAAAUUGUAACACUCAUGCAAUGUUGGUGGGAAUGUAAGAUGGUACUGCCACUUUGGAAAAGAGUGUGGAGGUUCCUCAGUAAGGUUAAACACAGAAUUACCAUAUGAUCUAGUAAUUCUACUCCUAGGUACAUACCUCAGAGAAUUGAAAACAGGUGUUCAAACAGAAAUUUGGACUUAAUGUUCAUAGCAGCUCCAUCCACAAUAGCCAAAAGGUGGAAACAACCCAAGUUUCCAUGAACAGAUAAACAGAUCAACAAAACGUGCUAUGUUCAUACAAUGGAAGAGUAUUAGCUCCAAAAGGAAGCACUGAUGCAUUCUACAACAUGGUUGAGCCUAGAAAACAUGCUAAGUGAAAGAAGCCAGACACAAAAGACCAAUGUAUGACUCCACUGAUGUGAAAUCUCCAGAAUGGACCAAUCCCUACAGAGGGGAGCAGAUCAGUGGCUGCCCAGAGCUUGGAGGAGGGGAAUAGGGAGUCACUCCUUCCUGGGCACCAGGUUUCGGUUUGGGGUGAUGAAAUGUUCUAUAACCAGACAGUGGUGAUGGUUGCAUAACAUUGUAAAUAUGCUUAAUGCCACUGGAUUGCACAAUUUAAAAUGGUUAUGAUGGUAAAUUUUAUGUUAUGUGUGUUUUACCACGUACACACAUAAAACUUAUUUUGUGCCAUUAAAAAGAAAAAGCUCUAUGAAGCACCUCUA